rnacentral:rRNA from 1 species
GGCUCAGGAUGAACGCUAGCUACAGGCUUAACACAUGCAAGUCGAGGGGCAGCAUGAACUUAGCUUGCUAAGUUUGAUGGCGACCGGCGCACGGGUGAGUAACACGUAUCCAACCUUCCGUUUACUCAGGGAUAGCCUUUCGAAAGAAAGAUUAAUACCUGAUAGUAUGGUGAGAUUGCAUGAUAACACCAUUAAAGAUUUAUUGGUAAACGAUGGGGAUGCGUUCCAUUAGGUAGUAGGCGGGGUAACGGCCCACCUAGCCUGCGAUGGAUAGGGGUUCUGAGAGGAAGGUCCCCCACAUUGGAACUGAGACACGGUCCAAACUCCUACGGGAGGCAGCAGUGAGGAAUAUUGGUCAAUGGACGAGAGUCUGAACCAGCCAAGUAGCGUGCAGGAUGACGGCCCUAUGGGUUGUAAACUGCUUUUAUAAGGGAAUAAAGUGGGAGUCGUGACUCUUUUUGCAUGUACCUUAUGAAUAAGGACCGGCUAAUUCCGUG